GAUUCCUGCCUACUGGAGGUCUUUUAAAGCCUCUCCAGAAGGAAUCUGUGACACAAGAGCUUCAUGGGGGUUUUACACUCUUGCAUCAGCAGAUGUGCAUUGGCCUACUCAUACAGGGUUCUCUAUGGCCCCAGCUCAUCACAUUCUGGGAGCAUCCUGAGAGGUUUGCCCAGAUAGCUCAUGGAUCCCCCAAGGUGAAAGGACAUCCAUCUCCACCAGAAGCCCACAGGUCGUUUCUUCUGUCCCAUUACACAGAUGGAGAUUUGCCCAGAGCCCCCCUUUUCCUCUAGAGUGAAUCAACAUGGCUGUGCUACCAUUGAUGAAGAAGGAUUCUGGAGUAUCUAUGUUAUUAAAAUUAAUGUACUUGUCUCAGUCUGGAGUAAAUUUGCUUCAGAAAAGCAAGGAAAACCUGCUUUCCUGAUGGUACUCACUCCCUUGCAAGCCAUAUUGUUCGCAUUUUCUGUAGCCUCCAAGUGAUAAAAGGAGUGCAGUGAUCUGUCUGUUGCCUCUCUGCCAAACUGCCAGAUCAGCUGGUCCUGCAGAUUACCAGCUACAGAGAUUUUCAAAGACAAAUUCCAAGCCAUAAAUAUGAGAUACAGGGCACUGUAUAAAGCAAAACCAGAUCAUUUCUCAGCCUGAAGCCACCCGUGAAGUGUCAGUCUACGGGAAUCAAUUCACACAUGUUUUAAUCAACUUGUAACUUGCACUGGAUAUAUGGGAAUAGUUAAAUUUAUAGAGCUUGGAGUCUGGCCCAUUAAACUCUGUCUAUACUGUUUUAACACUCCUAGAGGCCUGUGUUCAAAUUUGCCUCAAGUCACAACUGAAAUGAAUUCUCCAAGUUCCAGAGAAGUGCGCAGCACAGACCUAUCAGUGUACACCAAACCCAGAGCAAAAACUUCCACAUGCAAUUGGCCUGGGAUGCUGACAGAGCAAGGAGCAGAGGGUGGCAUGUGGAGCUGCCUGGCUCUGGUCUGAGCCACUAGUUGCAUGCCUUCAGGAGAACCAGCCUCACCGAACGUACGCGAGCAGAAACAUGCGUCAGUGUAAUUGGCGGAGAUGAGACCCAGAUGUUUUGCUGAAGCGAUCUCCAUUACUGGCUGCUAAUUUGGACUUUUUCUGAGCAUCCGCUAUUCUUAUCAACAGGGUAGGGCUUUCUGGUUCAUUUUUUUCUGUGUUCUCUUGGAGCAUGUUUAGCUGAUAGCAUCAGUGUCUGUGCGGUAGCAGUAAGAGCCCUGCCCAUGCAGGUACUGUGGAAACUAGAGACAGGAUUUUGCCAGUUGGGACAGGAAUGUUUAUUUGAAUGUAAGGAGAGAACCAGAUCUGUGGCUGCUGUAUCUGCCACGAGUCUCAGAGGAGUACCCAAGGCAAAAACUGACAGACUUGAAAAUAGUACUGUGCCCGGUGAAGCGGGGAGGAAAAAAAAAAAACAAUAAAAACCCUUGUGAGAGCAUGAACUUCUCAUGCUGGAAACACAUUUUUGGUUUCCAGAAAAGACGGCUGCAAUGUGCAUGCCUCAGGUUGCCCAAUGGCAUGCAGACUUACGUGCUGCAUAUCGACAGGGGAAUUUGUGGAGGUAAUUACUUCAAUUAUCUUGUUGCCUGGACAACCACAUAACACACACACUCAGGCUUUAAUGAGUCACUGGGAGCCACGGGGCUCUCCAGCAUGGCAGGAGAGCAGGCAGAGGGCUCUCCAGAGCCUACAGAUCUGCAGGCCAAGCCAGGGAACGCAGAGGAACUGAGGGACUCCAUCAGUGCCCAGCAUUCCCACUUACACCAUCUCAAGGCUGGGGGUGAAGAAGAUGCUCUUUUUCUGCCUUUGACAUAUGCCUUUUCAAAUGGCA
ensembl:lncRNA